rnacentral:rRNA from 1 species
AGGGUAGCGGCGGACGGCUGAGUAACACGUUGGAAUCUACCCCUUUCUGGAGGAUAGCCCGUCGAAAGACGGGAUAAUACUCCAUAGUCUCUCCGGAGUAAAGGCCUUAAUCGGUCGGAGAGGGAUGAGCCUGCGGCCUAUCAGGUAGUUGGUGAGGUAAAAGCUCACCAAGCCUAUUACGGGUAGCUGGUCUGAGAGGAUGACCAGCCAGAGGGGGACUGCGACACGGGCCAG